CAGUUAGUAUAGUAUAGUCAGUCAUAUUAAUUAGUCAUGUUAAUUCAGUUUGAUUGGUUAGUUGUAGUUUGUUAGAACUGUCAGUUUGUUAUUCAGUUAGUCAUGAACUUGUUAGGUGCUAUAAAUACACAUGUACAUGUAUGUAAUCAUUUGCGAAGUCUUAUUCAAAAAUACAGUUUUCUCUCUUCUUCCCUGUAUUGACUUUUCCCUCAUAUGUGAGUUCCUCCAUUGAUGCUAACAUUCAAAGCUUGAGAACCAGUUAUGAAUUGUUGAAAUUAACAUGAUAUCAGAGCCUAUCAUCGAUAUUUCUAGCUUCCUCUGUUUCUCAGCUUUCUAGCAAUUAUUAGCUAUUUUUAGCUUGUUAGUUUCUCUUCGUUUACUUCUUCUACUAAACUCACAAUGUCUGCUACUGCUGCUGCUACGUUACCUGCAAUUGCUACUGCUGGAUCUACUUCCAUUGAUAUGAGUGAUCCUUUUUAUGUACAUCCAUCUGAUAACCCUGGAUCAUUGAUUGUUCCCGUUCCUUUUGAUGGAAUGGGCUAUCGAUCCUGGAGAAGAAGCAUCCUCCGAUCUCUUUCAGUGAAGAACAAAUUGGGAUUUGUUACUGGAGAUUGUAAGAAGCCUGCUGCAAAUUCUUCCCUAUUGCAUCUUUGGUAGAGAUGCGAUGACAUGGUGACGUCUUGGAUUCUGAAUUCUCUUGCCAAAGAGAUUGCAGACAGUGUUGAGUACGUUAACGAUUCAGUUGAAUUGUGGAAAGAGUUGGAGGAUCGUUAUGACCAGGCCAAUGGUGUGAAAUUGUAUCAACUUCAAAAGAAGAUCAAUGACCUGAAUCAAGGCGUGUUGGACAUCACUUCCUACUACACCAAGAUGAAGAAGCUAUGGGAAAAACUCAACAAUUUGAUCGCCAAAGCUCAAUGAACUUGUGCCUGUGUUUGUGGUGCCAAGGAUAGCACACACAAAGCUGAACAAGACAGGCGUCUAAUUCAGUUUUUAAUGGGUCUAAAUGAAGUCUACACUAUCGUCUGAGGCAGUGUUCUUAUGAUGAAUCCCCUGCCCUCAAUGGCACAGGCUUUUUCAAUACUGAUACAUGAAGAGAAACAAAUAGAAUUUAAACCUAGAAGCCAGAUGUUAAUGGACUUUGUCUCUCUUAAUGCAGGUUCUUCUAACCCAAGGAAUUUUAAGACAAGUUAUUCCACAGGGAAUGGCAACCAGAACAAGGGAAACUUUAUCUGUGAAUACUGUAAACGACCAGGACACACUGUUAGCAAAUACUACAAGCUGCAUGGAUAUCCCCCGGACAAUUCUCAGUCCACUAGUACUCAAAAUGCAGGUUACAACAGGAACAAUCAGAGGUACAAUAACUCUAGGCCCAACAAAAACAACAAUAACAACAGGAUUGCAGCAAAUGCUCAUGGGCCUUCUGGUGAUGAAAUGUCUGGGAAGGGUGAAAAUGAUAGCAAAGAAGAACAACCUCUAAGUCUCACUAAGGAAUAAUAUGGACAUGUGAUGAACCUGCUUCAACAUUUCCAAAGCAGUGAGGGCUCCAACAUCCCCAAUCUUGCAAGUGGAGCAGUAAACUUUCCAGGCCCCUUUACUGAAGAGGCCUCAGGUGAUUGGUAGGAGUAGAGAUGGACUCUAUUUUCUAUGUUCAAGAUGCUUGACAACUGACUCCAAGCACUGCUUACCUGGAAAAUCUUUUAAUUCUUUCAAUUCUGAUUCCAGUAGUCUGCAAACUGCUGUAACUGGAAAAUCUUUCAAUUCUUUCAAUUCUAAUUCUAGUAGUAUGGAAACUGUUGUAAUGGAUUCUGUAAACUCCCUUUCAAGUAAUAAAAAUGAGUUACAUUUUGUGAA